rnacentral:rRNA from 1 species
GACGAACGCUGGCGGCGUGCCUAAUACAUGCAAGUUGAGCGCUGAAGGUUGGUACUUGUACCAACUGGAUGAGCAGCGAACGGGUGAGUAACGCGUGGGGAAUCUGCCUUUGAGCGGGGGACAACAUUUGGAAACGAAUGCUAAUACCGCAUAAAAACUUUAAACACAAGUUUUAAGUUUGAAAGAUGCAAUUGCAUCACUCAAAGAUGAUCCCGCGUUGUAUUAGCUAGUUGGUGAGGUAAAGGCUCACCAAGGCGAUGAUACAUAGCCGACCUGAGAGGGUGAUCGGCCACAUUGGGACUGAGACACGGCCCACACUCCUACGGGAGGCAGCAGUAGGGAAUCUUCGGCAAUGGACGAAAGUCUGACCGAGCAACGCCGCGUGAGUGAAGAAGGUUUUCGGAUCGUAAAACUCUGUUGGUAGAGAAGAACGUUGGUGAGAGUGGAAAGCUCAUCAAGUGACGGUAACUACCCAGAAAGGGACGGCUAACUACGUG